rnacentral:lncRNA from 1 species
GUGAUUUGGGCUCUCGCUGUAUAUGAACCUGGCUUUUGUUUCCAUUCUUUUCCUAACUUACAAACAAAAGUGAGUACUUGAAAAAUUUGGGGCUACACGUUUAGAUUCCUUUGUUUCUAAUGUCAUUGUCAUGAAGUUUUUAUUGUUGUGUGUUUCAUUAUUCCAGGAUUUGCAAAAAUCAGUAUUAUAGAUUCUGCACAUACUGCAAAAUGUCCUGACUAUACUAUAUUUAUAGAACUAUAUAAUUUUAAUUUAGUUUUAUCCCAUGGGGAAGAUUUUUCACAUUUGAGUUACAUACUGUAUAGAAAAAAGUAACACCAGUAUUUUUAAAACCAAUACAGCCCAGAACAUGAUUACAAAGGAAAAGCAAAAACAUAUCACACCUUUCAAUGCAGUUUUAGCUAGCUGUAUUUCACUAGAGGAAAACAGAAAUUUUCUAAAAUUACAUGCAGUUAGAGUUUUAAUGAAUCCAAAGCAUUUCUCUCCUGCCAAUUAAUACUUAGGGCAAGGUUACUUGUAAUGCAUUACUCCUUUUUCUUGCUACAACUAAGAUGAAAGCAUUGAUUAAUAUAGUGUAAUCAAGA